AGGAUGAACGCUGGCGGCGUGCCUAAUACAUGCAAGUCGAGCGAUGAGGCUCCUUCGGGAGUACAUCAGCGGCGAACGGGUGAGUAACACGUGGGUGACUUGCCCCGAAGAUGGGGAUACCUCUGGAAACGGGGGCUAAUACCCAAUGUGCUCGGUGAUUCGGUUCAUCGAGUAAAGCUCCGGCGCUUCGGGAGAGGCCUGCGGCCCAUCAGCUAGUUGGUAGGGUAACGGCCUACCAAGGCAGAGACGGGUAGGGGGCGUGAGAGCGCGGACCCCCACACUGGCACUGAGAUACGGGCCAGACUCCUACGGGAGGCAGCAGUAAGGGAUAUUGCGCAAUGGACGAAAGUCAGACGCAGCGACGCCGCGUGGGCGAUGAAGGCCUUCGGGUUGUAAAGCCCUUUUAUGGGGGAAGAGAAAAAGGACGGUACCCCAGGAAUAAGUCCCGGCUAACUACGUGUCAGCAGCCGCGGUAAAACGUAGGGGACAAGCGUUAUCCGGAUUCACUGGGCGUAAAGAGCGUUGAGGCGGUUCCGUAAGUUGGGCGUGAAAGCUCCGGGCUUAACUCGGAGAUGUCGUUCAAUACUGCGGGGCUUGAGGACAGCAGAGGAAGGUGGAAUUCCCGGUGUAGUGGUGAAAUGCGUAGAUAUCGGGAGGAACACCCGUGGCGAAGGCGGCCUUCUGGGCUGUUCCUGACGCUGAAGGCGAAAGCUAGGGGAGCGAGCGGGAUUAGAUACCCCGGUAGUCCUAGCUGUAAACGAUGGAUGCUGGGUGUGGGGGGUGUAAAUUCCCUCUGUGCCGAAGCAAACGCG
rnacentral:rRNA from 1 species